rnacentral:tRNA from 1 species
GACCGCAUAGCUCAAUCGGACAGAGCUACUGCCUUCUAAGCAGUAGGUUGAGAGUUCAAAUCUCUCUGCGGUCGCCA